AAAGGAGGUAAAUCGAAGUCAGAUGCCAAAAACACCAAGUAAGUAUUUCUCAUCAAACUUCUUUUCUUCCUUGGAAAUCUUGCGAAUCGUGGCUUUUCAGGUGUUAGAUCUAACAAAUAAUAUGUGGCUUGAAGCUCUUUACUAUUUAGAUUAUUUUUGUGUAUGGGUGCAUCUGUGUCUCUAAGUGUGACGUUGUUAUUCAUACGGCAACAGGCUUUCCGUGAACAAGAAACCUGCAAAGGCAGCAGGUAAGAAAUCUGGGAAGGCAGCCAAGGACCCAAACAAG
rnacentral:misc_RNA from 1 species